GGCACAAUUAAUUCUACUCUUCGUAGUCGGGAUCCCCCGCAGACAUGCGAGGGGCGCACCGACGGCCUGCCACGCUCCUCGGAGUCGAGGCGGAGCCCGAGCACACACGUUGGGACCCGAAAGAUGGUGAACUAUGCCUGGACAGGACGAAGACAGGGGAAACCCUGUUGGAAGUCCGAAGCGGUUCUGACGUGCAAAUCGAUCGUCUGAUCCGCGUAUAGGGGCGAAAGACUAAUCGAACCAUCUAGUAGCUGGUUCCCUCCGAAGUUUCCCUCAGGAUAGCUGGCGCUCGAUCGAAAUUCAGUCACGAUCGGUAAAGCGAAUGAUUAGAGGCCUUGGGGCCGAAACGACCUCCAACCUA
rnacentral:rRNA from 1 species